GCGUGGUUGUUCGUCCUGUGUGUGUCUGUGUUGCCCUGCGAUGGACUGGCGACCUGUCCAGGGUGUACCAUGCCUCCCACCCAUAGACUGCUGGAGAUAGGCACCAGCUUUCCUAUGACCCACUACGGAAGAAGAGGUAUAAAUAAAUUAUGACUGAAAUUAUGUGAUAGACCAGCUCAAACAUAUGCAGUGAAUAGGUAUCCAGCCCCUUUACUCUGCUACCCUUUGAUAAAAUCCAGUAUAAACAAGUUUCUUUCCAGGAUACAUGCAAAAUGCUAUGCAAUAUACUAGCACUGCACAUCCCCUUGAACACAGCAUCCACAGGGACAUAUGGCGAUGGCACCAUCAUGCUGGGGCAAGUUUUACAUAAAUGGUCUUGGCACAAUAAUUUUGCAUUGCUUAGGAACAUUUGCAUGCAUACAAAUAAUGUAUGCAGCAAAUUAUAGUACAAUUUUAAAGCAUUUAUUGUUACAUGUACAGGAAAACAGUACAAUUAAAUUGAGCAUUAGGCUGCAUGGUGAUUGUAAUCACUGCAGUUUUGUAGCAAGAAGUUCCUGGGUUUGAAUCUCAGCCAGGGCCUUUCUUGUGGUUUGCAUGUUCUCCCUGUGCUUUCCCAGGUUCUGUCCAGGUACUCCAGCUUUUACCCACACUUCAAAAACAUUCAUGUUAGGUCAACUGGUCUCUCCUAAAUGCUCUCAGGAGACAGCGUGUGUAUGCAUAGUUGUUAAUCCUAUGUGUCUCUGUGUUGUCACUGGGCGAGAGGCAGGGUGUUACCUGCCUCUCGCCCAGUGACUGCUGGAAACUUCGAUGGCCACAGAUCAAGCAUCUAGGUGUGCAGACUGUUUUUCCAAACACUUGUGAAGAAUAGGUUGCUCUUAGGAGCUCAGUGAAUUCCAGCGUGGUUCUGUAAUACAAUGCCACCUGUGCAACCAGCCCAGUUGUGAAAGUUUCUUACCCCUAAAUAUUUCACUGUCACUGGUAUUAUAAGAAAGUGUAAGUGAUUGGGAAAGACAGCAACUCAGCCACAGAAUGGUAUGCCACAUAAACCGAUGGAGCAGGGACAAUGGAAGCUGACAAACAAACAAAGUGCGCAGAGGUCAUUGACUUUCUGCAGAGUCCAUUGUUAUAGACCUCCAAACUUCAGGCCUUCAGAUUAGUUCAAGAACAGUGCGUAGAGAGCUUCAUGGAAUGGGGUUCCGUGGCCAAGCAGCUGCAUCCAAGCCAUACAUAAUUAAGUGCAAUGCAAAGCGUUGGAUGCAGGGAUAAUGUCGCGGCGUUGUUUAUCAGGAGCUGGGCUUGGCCCCUUAGUUCCAGUGAAAGGAACUCUAAAUACUUCAGAGUACCAAAAGAUUUUGGUCAAAUCUAUGCUCCCAACUUUGUGGGAACAGUUUGGAAAUGGCUCCUUCCUCUUCCAACAUGACUAUGCACCAGUGCACAAAGCAAGGUCCAUAAAAACAUGAAUGAGAGAGAUUGAUGUGGAUGAGCUUGACUGGCCUGCACGGAGUCCUGACCUCAACCAGAUAAAACACCUUUGGGAUUAAUUAGAGUGGAGAUUGAGAACCAGGCCUUCUCAUUCAUCAUCACUCUAUGACAUCACAACUGUCCCUCUGGAAGAAUGGUAAAAAAAUCCCCAUGAACACACUUCUAAACCUUGUGGACAGCCUUCCCAGAAGAGUUGAAGCUGUUAUAUGUGCAAAGGGUGAACCAACAUCACUAUGGAUUAAGAAUGGGAUGUUACUUAAGUUUAUAUGCAAGUCAAAACUGGGUUGUUGAACCCAUCUGCAGCCUGUAUUUAGCUCCAUGCAUCUUCCCAUCAACUCUGACCAGCUGUCCUGUCCCUGCUGAAAAACAACAUAACCACCAUGCCACAAUCAUACUUAAUAGGUUGUGUUAAUUCCUUCAGGGUGUUGGUUAUAAGUCACGCCUAAUUUUUUGCAGGCUAAAAAGUUUGAUUUUAGUGUUAUCUCACUAGCGAACCUUCUUCCACAUGUUUGCUGUGUUCCUUACAUUGUUAGGGGCAAGCAGUUAAAGAAUCUUUUCAUUCUUUCUAUUUUCAGAUGAUGGAUGAACAAAACUCUUGAUGAUGCUCAAAGAUUGAGAUAUUGUUUUAUAACCUAACCUUGCUUUAAACUUCAGCACUUGUUUGCAAUGUAUUAUAUUUAGGGGUGAAGAGGUACAAUAUGCUGAAUUAAGGGACUCCUCAUUUUUCAGAUUUUUUAUUUUAAAAACAUUUAUGAACUAUUUGUGUUGGUCUGUUAAUAAAAUUCCAUAAAUACGGCCCAGUAUUUGUAAAAUGAUAUUAUGUGAAUGAUUUAAAUUAUAGGUGGUUUAUGUUCUGUUCAUAUUUUGUGUUUGGCGUGAUAAUUCUAAUCUAGUUGGUUGAAAUAAAAGAAUUAUGGGUGUUUUGGGGCAACCCUCUGAUUAAAGAGGAGACACAUGAAGAUAUCUCAUACGGAUUUUACCACUACAUUUGUUUCAAGCUCCACUGUCAGUGGAAAUAUUAUUCCUUCAAUCAUUUGUAGAUUUCUCUUCAGAUUAAGUUUCAGCCAGCAACAAUCAAUUAUUGCAUUUAGUCUGAUAUAACUGUUCUGCUGUAAAUUUGCUGUCUUAAAGUCUUAAAACCUGAACUAUCUUUGGAA